rnacentral:rRNA from 1 species
AAAAAUUUGGCGGUAUUUUAGUCUAUUCAGAGGAACCUGUUCUGUAAUCGAUAAUCCACGAUGGACCUUACUUAAGUUUGUAAUCAGUUUAUAUACCGUCGUUAUUAGAAUAUUUUAUAAGAAUGUUAAUUUUCAAGAUUUUUUAAAAGAAAAUAUAUCAGAUCAAGGUGUAGCUAAUAUUUAAGUAGAAAUGGGUUACAAUAAAUUUAUUUAAACGGAUAUAAAUUUGAAAUAUUUAUUGAAGGUGGAUUUGAUAGUAAAAUUAUAAAGAUUAAUAAUUUGAUUUUAAGCUCUAAAAU